rnacentral:sRNA from 1 species
CGCCGCCGCCGCUGGCCAAAAAGCGGAGGCCAGGGGAAGCGUGUCCUGCUCAGACCGCCUUCCUCCUCCAUUGCCACCCGUGCCGAACAGCCAGGCUGCCCAACUGCAACUGUAGACCAAUGAACUAAUCCAUCGCCCGCAGCCCGACUCUCAGCAGCGGUUCGUCCCGGUGCCCACCCCCGCGAAGCGGAGCGCCCGGGCACCUAGCCUCCCUGCCGGCCACGAUGCCGAACGUGCUGCUGCCGCCCAAGGAGAGCAACCUCUUCAAACGCAUCUUGAAAUGUUAUGAACAGAAGCAGUACAAAAAUGGCCUCAAGUUUUGCAAGAUGAUUCUGUCGAACCCAAAAUUUGCUGAACAUGGAGAGACUUUGGCUAUGAAAGGAUUAACACUGAACUGUUUAGGAAAAAAAGAAGAAGCUUAUGAAUUUGUUCGUAAAGGACUUCGUAAUGAUGUCAAGAGUCAUGUCUGUUGGCAUGUAUAUGGACUCUUGCAGCGUUCUGAUAAAAAAUAUGAUGAAGCUAUAAAAUGUUACCGAAAUGCCCUCAAAUUAGAUAAAGAUAACCUGCAAAUUUUGAGGGAUCUCUCACUGUUGCAGAUCCAAAUGAGAGACCUUGAAGGUUACCGAGAGACAAGAUACCAGCUUCUUCAGUUGCGCCCCACACAGCGUGCCUCCUGGAUUGGAUAUGCUAUUGCAUACCAUUUGCUGAAAGAUUAUGAUAUGGCCCUAAAACUGUUGGAAGAAUUUAGACAAACUCAGCAAGUUCCUCCGAACAAAAUAGAUUAUGAAUAUAGUGAACUGAUAUUAUACCAGAAUCAAGUGAUGAGAGAGGCAGAUCUGUUUCAGGAAUCUUUGGAACAUAUAGAAACAUAUGAGAAACAAAUAUGUGAUAAACUUUUGGUGGAAGAAAUUAAAGGGGAAAUACUGUUGAAAUUGGGAAGAUUAAAAGAAGCCAGUGAAGUGUUCAAAAACUUGAUUGAUCGGAAUGCAGAAAAUUGGUGUUAUUAUGAAGGCUUGGAAAAAGCUCUACAAAUUAGCACUUUAGAAGAGAGGCUUCAAAUUUAUGAAGAAAUUAGUAAGCAGCACCCCAAAGCAAUUACACCCAGAAGAUUACCUUUGACUCUUGUCCCAGGUUUCUAUAAUCCAGGAACUUGUUACUAAUUAUGAAGCCUCUCUUAAAACGUGUGACUUUUUUAGCCCAUAUGAGAAUGGGGAGAAGGAACCCCCAACAACACUACUCUGGGUUCAGUAUUUCCUGGCACAGCACUUUGAUAAACUUGGACAGUAUUCUUUGGCUUUGGAUUAUAUUAAUGCUGCAAUUGCUAGUACUCCAACUCUAAUAGAAUUAUUCUAUAUGAAAGCAAAAAUUUACAAGGUAAAAUCUGAAUCCUGUUUUUUGAGUAGUUGAAGAAUUCAGCUACUUUAAGAAUCCUUGGAGUUUUUUCUUUGUGGAAACAAGUUCUAGGGCACCCUGAUAAUCUUUUUCUAAUAAUUCUGUGUAGUUUCAUGUUAUAUUAAUUGUAUAAUCAAUGUGUAAUUAGAUGUGUAAUCAUUUGAUUGAGCUCUUAGUAAAUGUGAACUGUAAUUUUGAUUUCUAAAUAAAUUUGACAGAAAUGGUGACAGA